rnacentral:rRNA from 1 species
GCGCUAGUUGUGGGAACCUUCCACGGUUUCUGCGACGCAGCUAACGCAUUAAGCGCCCCGCCUGGGGAGUACGAUCGCAAGAUUAAAACUCAAAGGAAUUGACGGGGCCCCGCACAAGCAGCGGAGCAUGCGGCUUAAUUCGACGCAACGCGAAGAACCUUACCAAGGCUUGACAUAUACAGGAAUAUGGCAGAGAUGUCAUAGCGGUAAAACGUCUGUAUACAGGUGGUGCAUGGUUGUCGUCAGCUCGUGUCGUGCGAUGUUGGGUUAAGUCCCGCAACGAGCGCAACCCUCGUUCUGUGUUGCCAGCAUUUAGUUGGGGACUCACAGGAGACUGCCGGGGUUAACUCGGAGGAAGGUGGGGAUGACGUCAAAUCAUCAUGCCCCUUAUGUCUUGGGCUGCACGCAUGCUACAAUGGCUGGUACAAAGGGCUGCAAUACUGCAAAGUGGAGCGAAUCCCAAAAAGCCAGUCUCAGUUCGGAUUGGGGUCUGCAACUCGACCCCAUGAAGUCGGAGUUGCUAGUAAUCGUAGAUCAGCAACGCUACGGUGAAUACGUUCCCGGGGCUUGUACACACCGCCCGUCACAUCACGAAAGUCGGUAACACCCAAAGUCAGUGGCCCAACCGCAAGGAGGGAGCUGCCAAAG